AACGAACGCUGGCGGCAGGCCUAACACAUGCAAGUCGAGCGAGGACUUCGGUUCUAGCGGCGGACGGGUGAGUAACGCGUGGGAAUGUGCCCUUCUCUACGGAAUAGCCCUGGGAAACUGGGAGUAAUACCGUAUACGCCCUAUUGGGGAAAGAUUUAUCGGAGAAGGAUCAGCCCGCGUUGGAUUAGGUAGUUGGUGGGGUAAUGGCCUACCAAGCCGACGAUCCAUAGCUGGUUUGAGAGGAUGAUCAGCCACACUGGGACUGAGACACGGCCCAGACUCCUACGGGAGGCAGCAGUGGGGAAUCUUAGACAAUGGGGGCAACCCUGAUUUAGCCAUGCCGCGUGAGUGAUGAAGGCCUUAGGGUUGUAAAGCUCUUUCAGCUGGGAAGAUAAUGACGGUACCAGCAGAAGAAGCCCCGGCUAACUCCGUG
rnacentral:rRNA from 1 species